rnacentral:pre_miRNA from 1 species
UCUCACAGAUGAGCAAAGAAAGUGGUUUCUUGAGAUUGGAAUCUACUCCUAGGGAAGAUGCUGUGGA